UACGUAGGGUCCGAGCGUUGUCCGGAAUUACUGGGCGUAAAGGGCUGGUAGGCGGCCAACUAAGUCGGAUGUGAAAUCCCCAGGCUUAACCUGGGAACUGCAUCCGAUACUGGUCGGCUUGAAUCCGGGAGAGGGAUGCAGAAUUCCAGGUGUAGCGGUGAAAUGCGUAGAUAUCUGGAGGAACACCGAUGGCGAAGGCAGGUCUCUGGGCAUUAACUGACGCUGAGGAGCGAAAGCGUGGGUAGCAAACAGG
rnacentral:rRNA from 1 species